AAGCAUUUUUCAUUCAAAUAAAUUUUUAUAAUGUCAGUGUGUUAAAUUUUUUUCUAUUUUAUUUUAUUUUUAUUUAUUUUUUAAACGAGAUUUAUAAACAAACCAAGAAUGUUCUGAAGACCGCCGAAUAAUUUGUGGUAAUGUCAGGGCUUAAUAGCAGCGGCAUGGAGCCAGAAGAGCCAAACAGCAAAGAAAAGAAGAUAAAUGAUGAAGUUAUAUCCUUUUUACUAAAGCGCAGUGAACAUGAUAUACCCCAAUACUCUGCUCGAAUAAAGACUUACCUAGAUGUUAAAAGAAGGCGCCAGCGAGCGAAUGAGGCACGACGCAAUACUGAGAAUGAAAAAUCGAAGAAGAAAACUGAAGACACAAAAGACGUAAACGCAGAGGACAACGCCUUUUUGGGUAACGAUGACGAUCGCAUGAGCAAAAGGAGUCGCCGUGACAAAGGCGAGCGCACCCGUCCCGAGUCACGUGAGCAGGAGCCCACAGACCGUUGUUGUCGGCGAAAGCGCCGUCGGAGAUCAUGUCGUCGUCGACGCAGGCGCAGUUGUAGUCGGCGCCGCCGCCGGCGACGGCGUCGCAGCUGUAGUCGACGCCGCCGGAGAAGAAGCUGUCAACGCAAAAGACGCAAAAACCGCCGCUGUGGAUGUCGUUAAGCCCCGAUGUUACCUACUUGUAACCGAUUUUUGGAGUGUUUAAUUUUUAUGAAUAAAUUAUUGAUGUCCGCU